CCAGUAUAUUGAAUGAAUGCAUUUUAUUUGUUUCAAACAUGUAAACUAUACAUCAUCAAUCAAAUGAAGACACAAAUAAAAAGCAAAAACAAGGUGAAAGUCAUUUAAAUUAUGACUUUGUAUAAAUACUAGGUAUAAACAGAAAACAAUCUGCACAAAAUGGGCGGAGUCUACUUGUUUGAAAAGG